UUGUUGGGGGAAAGUGAAGGGAACCCGUCCUUCCCCUCGAUUU
rnacentral:rRNA from 1 species